GCAGAGAGAAGCCAGGCAGCGAGAGCAGGUACUUACAAACUUGUUUGGGGAGAUGGGGUUUCUGGGCCCUGGGAGCAUAGGGAUGCCUGGGUCUACAGCUGCAGCUGGGUGCUUGCAGCUGCACCUGGGAGGGUGGGGCUCUUGACCCUUCAACUUAGAAGAGAGUGUGGCUCUCACCUGUUCCCAGCUUCCAUCAGCUCCAUGGAGUGUGCAGCCCUGGCCAUGCCUUCCCCACUGCAACUGGAGUCUUCACAGAGGCCACCCCAGAUGGGCUGCCUCUGCCGUCAUGAAGACCAAGAGUGCCAAGGGGUCCCUAAAGCUCCCUCCUCCCUGGCAGAACAUCACAGAGGUCUCACAGGUUGCUUUGAGGCUUUUGCAGAGGCUGGAAGACAACCCUUUGGAGUUCAGGUAACUAGAGGGCAUCAGGAGCUGUUUCAUGCACUGUGCAGAGACGAGGAAGAGGUUAAGCCCCGUCUACGGCUGACCUCGUGUCUGGGGAGAAGCACCAAGGAUUCCAUGAAGCCACAGCCAUUUCCCUGUUGCUCCUCAGGCCAGCCACAUGGUGCUCAACUAUUGCUGAAUAGAUAAACAAAUGAAUGACUGAGACACAUUCUGAUAAUACUAGAGGUAGAGAGGAAAACCUGAAUUUUCUGAAUACCAGUUAUGGGAGGAAGAAAUAUAACACAUUUUUUGGUUCACAUAGAUUUCAAAUUUAUUCAAAUGGAUGUGAUUUUUUUUUACAUAAUUGGCUUUCUAGAUCUGAUAGAUAACAAACUAUUAAGUAAUUUCACAUUUUCUUUCACAUUUGGAGCUGCAAAAUCCCUGAAACUUGAUGCUUCUCAUGAGUCCAGGAAAGUAUGCCAUGUAUUUAAAGCUCUCCCUGCCUUCACCACCUUAAAAAUUCUCCAGAUAACAGCUAUAGGCAUUUUUUUUCUAAAUGCAGAAACUGAUUAUUCAUAACUAGUUUUCCUUUUCUUUUGUGUUUAUAAACUACCACAGCUCAGAACAAAUCAGCCCAAUAUCAAUUUGUUGGAUAUGAAAUAUAUUCAGUAGUUUAAGUCACUUAUAUUACAAUGUAAUAUUAAUAUUACAUUUGAACCUGUUAAUGGAAAUACUUGUCACAAAUUCAGGGCUACAACAGUGAUGAGUCAUUUGUUCAUCUGCUCAGCUAACAUUUACUGAGAACCUCUGGCCUCCA
rnacentral:lncRNA from 1 species